AGAGUUUGAUCCUGGCUCAGAACGAACGCUGGCGGCGUGCUUAACACAUGCAAGUCGCGUGCGCAGUUGCCGUAGCAAUACGGUGAUGGGCGCACGGCGCACGGGUGCGUAACACGUGGGCAAUCUGCCCUUUGAUGGGGAAUAACCCGCCGAAAGGCGGGCUAAUUCCGCAUAAGAUUCUUUGGACUUUGGUCUGGAGAUUGAAAGCAGCAAUGCGUCGAAGGAGGAGCCCGCGCCCGAUUAGCUAGUUGGUGAGGUAAUGGCUCACCAAGGCGAUGAUCGGUAGCUGGUCUGAGAGGAUGAUCAGCCACACUGGAACUGAGACACGGUCCAGACUCCUACGGGAGGCAGCAGUGGGGAAUCUUGCACAAUGGGCGAAAGCCUGAUGCAGCGACGCCGCGUGGGGGAUGAAGCAUUUC
rnacentral:rRNA from 1 species